CCUGCUUUGGCAAGUUAACUCGCAACGCACCUAAUGAUCCGGAAAAUGUACUGAAAGCUCCUGCUUUUAAUUAAGUGUGAAAAGUUGCCGGGACCUCGGAAACAGUUACCCGGUUUGUGUCUUUGCGUUCGCUCACACCACUUUUUAUGUUAGGAACGCGGUUCGUGGACGGGAAACUUCACUUGCCAAUGAGACUAUUUUUGUAGUUACCAGCAUCUACAAGUUAUAUGAAUUUUGGAAAUUACAGGCACGUUGGGGCAACGUCGUAUUUAGGUUUUCUUGAUGUAAUUAUAUGUCUACGCUCAGGUUGUUUUUUCAUGCAUAGAUUCCUGUCAAGUAUUAUAUUUUCUUGUAUGAGUAUCCCGGAUAAAAAGAGGCGCUACUAGCAAAUUGAAUUCAUCCACUUCCGACCCCUUCAAAAUGAACUUAAAUCGAUUCCCGCCAACCGCGGGAUCCGUCGGACCACGAGCGAGCGAAGAAAACCAAAAGCGAACGUCGGCUAACCAGAUCUUUAGUUUUGCAUUUAAAUUGUAUAGAAUAGUCUAUGCUUAGUUAAACUGGAGAGGAUUUCUUCUUGAUUGCUUCUUUAAGCGAUUUCCUUAAGAGAGGAUCCCCUUGGGCAAUAGAUUUAAAGAAAAUGGAACUUCUUAUAGAAAAGAAGGAAGGGAAGCAGUUCAUACAUCAUAUUCAACAUUCAACUGCUUACAGCAGUUGAAAAUAGAAUGACUUAUGGAGCCUUAAUAGACCCAUUUAUUUGGAGAUGAGUUCAAUAGAGCGUGAAAUGCAGUGAUCCUUAACGAAAGCACAUCUGAAGAUGAGUGAUUUAAUUUCCAGAAUUAGUGGUUGUCUUGAUAUUUUUUUAGUUUCAAUAGUAAUACAAUCUGUAAGAUAUGUGUUGAACGUACAUAUUUCAAGAUAUUUUAACAACAUCUAUGUUUAAUAACAAUACUUAUAAACUUUAUUAACUAAUUUAUUUGUUUAAAAUAAUUGGUGUUUAAAAUAAUAAAAAAACGAAUCAACAAUCCCUUUGUCAGAAGAUAUUAUUCUAAAAAGCAUUAGACUCUUUGAGUUUGCUAAAGCUGAAUAUGACUGGGACUAUCAACAAGAAAUCACACAGAAAAUAUGAUUCGAAUUUUAAUAAAAAUUGACAAUACUGGAAUAACUUUUGAUAAAACCAAAAACAUUCUUAUUUUUAAGGAAAAAGAUUGGAGGGAAUUUGUCUUCUUUAAUCAAAGCAAUACGCAGUUCAAGUCUUGACAAAAUUCUAAAAUUGUAGUUAUAACAUGAUGUAUGUAUUAAACUUCAUUUAAGUGUAUAUAAUGUUUAGUUGCAAAGGAAUAAAUUAUGUAUAUUUUAAAAUAUCUUUUUAUGUAGGAACGCGAAGAAAAAACCAUCUCUGACGAACGGUGAAUUAAACCCUUUAUCAGAAAACCAUAAAAUAAAUCAUAUGGGUCAACUAUGGCUUGCAUCGGUAAUUCGCGCCUUUACUGAAAAAAAUUGGGGUACUGGAGUUACUGGCGGAUAUUCAUAAACCAACUUAAUAGAAGAACUAAUGCAACGACCCCCUUACGACGCAUUACGAGUAUAAAAAAAAGAAAUUCCGGACUUUUAUCAACGAGGAAACAAAUUGAUUACGGUGGUAGCGCAGGAGGCUCCCUCCCUCUCUCCCUGUCCCUCAUUCCGGAUCCAACUGGGCCUAAUUACUUUGCUAGGUACCCUCACUGACUCACUACUACAACUAGACUCGGUCUGAUGAUGGUAAUUCCGGUAAUGCCUGAUGCUUCCUCCACGGUUUGGUGAUGUUAGUUGCGUUGUUGUUCACGCCCGUCGCGAAGCGGGGUGCUAUUUUAACAUAUUUUAUGGAUUAGCUAAUGGUGACAUGUCUUCACAUAGAUGAUUAUCCCGUCACGUAAAUUUAAGAAUCUUAUUUAAGUCUUAAAUAUAAUUGACUUAGAUAUCGUUUUUUUGUUGACUUUUGUUAAUUUUACAAACGUUACGAAGAGCAUUCCUCAAAUAUCAAUGUACAUAUAUAUCAAGUUUCGCUACUGUCCUACUAAAAACGGUUUUGCAUGUAUUGCAAGUCUCUCAUUACCAUGAAUAAUCCUUUUAAAACUCUAUUUUGUCAAAAGUCACUUUACUUUAGAAAACCUUUUUGUUAAAAUAUUUAAGCCACGCAGGAAAAGGAGCCUUACUUUUUUUUCAAAUCCUUUUACCUGUAUAGACAUUACCAUUUAAUUAACUCUAAUCCCUGUAAUAUACCUGCCUAAUGCCCUUUCGAAAUUUGCUGAGAAAAUAUUCUAUUUAAUAUAGAAAUGUAUAAAAAGGUUUCUCUCUCUCUCUUUCGCUCUCUCUCUCCCUCUUUCCCUCCUCCGAUAACCCCGGUAGGUCUCUUAAUGCUUUUGUUCUGCUCGAAGAAACCCGCACCCGACCGGGCCGACCCACUAUACGACGAUUUUAUCUCCUUCAGUUAUAUAAAUUUUUUCAGUCGGUCCUUAUUUUUGCCGGUUUACCCGCUGCGUCGUACAGAUCCUGCGAGCCAUGUACUGGCACCUCGAAACUACGUGGGCCCACGUUGACCCAACGUUCGCCUGUCUAUUUCCCUUAGCAACGAACCUCGAAACUCGCCCCACGAUUGGCCGAUGGCGGCCUCUAGUUGGUCGAAAAUCUUGUGAAGCAACGUUUUCGUUUAAAACGGGCGGUGUGAGAGCGUAGCGGCGUCCCGAUUGGUUUACACGAUGAAAUCGACAGUUUACGUUGGUCAUGCGUUGUUGUAGCGUUUGGGUCCACGUGAGCCCCAGACCAGCUUGGUAUACUGGCAAUCAGGGCGCCAUAUUUAUAGGGGUGAAAGGGGACGCGGCGAAAUCACGCGGGUGGAACAAGGACAAAUUCCCGGGCCCUGUUUCAGCUAAAAUGAGAUGCUUUCUGCCAGGCAGCCAUUUUGAGGUGAACAUGUUCGGAAUCAUUUCGGGGGUGCGAGUCAAGCAAAUGCAAAGUGGCGCGGCUUGGGGGUUAGUUUUCGCAUUGACCGAGAGCGGCGAGGGGCGGCAGAGGCGGUGGGGUGGCGGUGGCGGGAGGAUGAGGUGGUGGAGGCGGAUGAGGAGCGAUGGCUCGGCGGUCGAGGGUGGAGGGAGGGCGGUUGGUUUGUGUUUAGAGAUGGGGCGGCGGUUUGAAACGUCACAAUUUCCGAAAACAAAGCGCCGCCAGUUUGCCACUACACUGGCCACGCUAAUUGUGCUAUCGCUGAGUUUCGGGGGGCAAUUAAAGCGAGAGACAAUUAAAGUGAAAGUUAACUUUGACCAUAAUGAGCUCUCUUAUUGUUUUGCUUUACUGCCUCUUGGAACGGUCUAUUGAUAAUAAAACUGUUUUUUUUUCUUUUAAUAAAUAAUUCAUGAAAAAAAAAUACAAAUUUAUAUAGUUUUAUCAAAUUCACUAAUGUUCAGGAAUUAGUAAUUGACAGUAGCAAUUUUUAUAAUGUACUUUUUCAAAGAUGACAAUGACAUGAGGACGCAUUACCACCUUUGACUGUCCAGAUCCAGAACUCAAUCAGAGUAAUUCGGCGAAUCCUCAAUACAAUUAAACACACUGCAACAUUUUUAUUCUUAGGUGUAGCUUUAAUGCACACAUUGCUAAAAAGACAUUUGUACUAUCUGAAGAUUUUUUUUGUAUCUUUGGUGUGCAACUCAAGAUAGUAGUAUAUUUUUCUACAAAAAUGUAUGUAAUUUUUAGGAAAAAGAUAAAAGAAAAAUCAAUUCCGGAAAGUAUCUCACAAUUAAAGGAUUCAUUUUGUGAAUUGGCUAAAUUCAGCACUGAAACUUUGCUACUUUCUAAACAUCAAAAACUGUAGAUGCCCGAAAGGUGUUGUUGGUAAUAAAGCCGAAUUGUUGAAUUUAAAUAUCUAUUUUGUUAUACCCCAAUGUGAAAGUUAUUAAUAUUUCAUCAACCUUUUAAAUAGUUAACCCUUUUGAUGUUAGGGCUUAAGAUAUUUAUUUCGAGGGUGUCAAAAUGGUAAACUCCUAUGCUGACUUUAUUGAUGUUAAUUUUGAAGCUGUUGAAAAGAAUUUUGAUAUGAUUUUGAAGUCUGAGCUUUUUUUAUUAUUUUUAGCAUUUUCUUGUACCUGUUUUUGUUUAACUUAUCCAAUUACCAUUUGUUUAUAAAUAU